GCCCUGGGUCCCCAUCUUAAUAGGGCCCCCACCUUAAUAGGGCCCCAACUUGAGAGCAAGAGCCUAAAAUUGAGUAGGUUCUAUAAAGAACAUUUUUGAAAUUGAGGGCUACUUACAGUACCUCCACAUGCAGUCUAGCUACUAAGGUUUAGUUGGGUCUAGCUUAAAAAUAAUGUCAUGGGGUGCCCAGGGAAGGUUUGCCUCGGGUCCCGCAAAUUCUCUAGGCGGCCCUGUGUACAGUAUAGCUAGCUAUAUUAAUUAUAUAUAUACAACAACAACAACAUAUGUAUAUAUCUACAUUGACUAAAAUCACUUCAUUAGACAGUACGGUAUAGUAACAACUAAAUUCAGUUUUAAGAGUUUCUUCUGCCCUAAUAACUAUUGCUUUAGGCAACAUUCCCACGACAAUGCAUUUGGACCCAGUAACAUGCAGACCACUGCAGAUAAACCAGUCUCACAGCAGCGAUGUAAUACAUCAAACAGUUUAUCUUCACAAAACAUUACAUGUUACUGAUUAUAUACCUUCUUGUAUAGCUGUGCUACUGUCAAUCUCCUUUACCAGGUAGUCUGAACCUUCUAUGGUUAAACCCGGUUCUUUUGUGUUUGAUCUACUACAGCA